rnacentral:miRNA from 1 species
UCCUUCCAGUCAAAGAGGUUUUUCAACCUCUUUGACUGGAAGGAAUCCUUCUGCUUGAAGAGGUUUUGUAACCUCUUUGACUGGAAGGCCUUCGAAGAGGUUACAAAACCUUUUCGACUGGAAAGGCCUUCCAGUCGAGGAGGUUCUGCAACCCCUUUGACCGGAAGGA